UCCUCAUAAAAAUGAAAACUCUUACCUUUGAUCUCAAACUAUCUAUAGUCUUUGGGUCUGAUUAGUCUUUUUUUGUUGCAUUAUUUAAAUUCAUGUUACCUUAACCAAAUUGAAUUAUUAUCUAUUACAUUUCUGUUGCUUUCCAUAGGACAGAUUCCCUGUGGGAGAGAGACUAUGCUGAGCUUGCAGUUGGUGAUGAAAUAUUAACUCAUGAGGGAUAUUUUAAGACUUCUCACAUCUCUGUCUCAAUCACAUGGGAUGGACAGAUGCAGGGCUCGUCUCAAUCACAGCAGCCUACUCAUAUACUCAAGGCCAAAGGCAAUCAAAGCAUGGUACGUGUUCUUCAAUUGGUGUAAAUCUGUGUGUUAAAUGUAAUAUAAUAAUAGUAAUAGAGCUUUACUGAAAGGUGGUUUUAUGGUUGUAUAGUUUUGAUUGAAUU